UACGGAGGGUGCAAGCGUUAUUCGGAAUUACUGGGCGUAAAGCGCACGUAGGCGGCCUUGUAAGUCAGGGGUGAAAUCCCACGACUCAACCGUGGAACUGCCCUUGAAACUGCGGGGCUUGAAUCCUGGAGAGGGUGGCGGAAUUCCUGGUGUAGGAGUGAAAUCCGUAGAUAUCAGGAGGAACACCGGUGGCGAAGGCGGCCACCUGGACAGGCAUUGACGCUGAGGUGCGAAAGUGUGGGGAGCAAACAGGAUUAGAUACCCGGGGUAGUCCCUGAG
rnacentral:rRNA from 1 species